CCUCACGGCUUGCGCAGGCUCAUUGACCACCCCAAGCUCCGCCCCCGCCCCGCCUCCCCGCGGCGAUCAGCGCAGGCGCACUUGCAGACGGUGGGAGCGCUCGGCUCUCCCGGUUGGCUGCUCUGUUGCUGCCUGCCACCGCAUCCUUUGCGACCUUUGGUGCCUUCUUUGAGCUCCAAGGCUAAUCUCAUAGAUAAGUUUCCGAAGGUCUUGGUGAAUCAUUCCCGAAAGAAUGAAUGUCCAAUAGCCCAUCUGACUUAUGGGCUUAUUUUCAUUAUUUGGAAAGGACCAAAUAAUGCAAGGACCAGUUGAGGAAACAGAGGUUAAGAAGACUGCACAGAUUGAAGCAAAAUUCAAAUCCACAUCUAUCUGAUUCUAGAAUAGUCUCCAUUUUUUCCCCUCCUGCUCACUUCAGAACAGACUCUAAUAUAUUUCUGUUCACAAUGCACCAGUCCACUUUUACUGAGGUCCCCCAAUACCUCAAAGCUAAUUCCUAUAGACAUUUAUCAGUCUUUAUCUCAACUGACUUUUCAAUAGAAUUUGGCAUUUCCUUAUUAAACCUUCUUACAACAGUCUCACUCUUGAUUUCCUGGGACCAUAACUGCUGACUUUUGUCCUAUCUUCCUGAUCCUCCCCUCUUCUGCAGCUUAUUCCUCCUAUCAGCCUUUCACUGUGUCCUGAGACUUGCCCAGGGCCACCUCUCUUUCUUACCAUACCCUCAGUUCUAAUAAUCAGAAAUAGAUAAGAUUUACAAAUUUCAGGUGUUAAAUAAGUACAUUUAAUCCUUAUAUUUAUUUUAUAUAAUUUAUAUUUGACAAGACAGCAUAUUUUGUUUGAAAGAACAUGGCCUUUAGACUGUAAUCUGGAUACAAAUCCUGGCCUUUUCCACUUACUGUCAAAAUGCCCUGAUCUCUUCUUCUAUAAAAUAGGAAGUUUCUAAAA